rnacentral:rRNA from 1 species
CCUACGGGGGGCAGCAGUGAGGAAUAUUGGUCAAUGGGCGAGAGCCUGAACCAGCCAAGUCGCGUGAGGGAGUACUGCCCUAUGGGUUGUAAACCUCUUUUGUCGGGGAGCAAAAGCCGGACGUGUCCGGCUGUGAGAGUACCCGAAGACAAAGCAUCGGCUAACUCCGUGCCAGCAGCCGCGGUAAUACGGAGGAUGCGGGCGUUAUCCGGAUUUAUUGGGUUUAAAGGGUGCGCAGGCGGAUUUUUAAGUCAGCGGGAAAAUCGUGGGGCUCAACCCCAUCCAGUCGUUGAAACUGGGGAUCUAGAGUGUGCGAGAGGUAUGAGGAAUGCGUGGUGUAGCGGUGAAAUGCAUAGAUAUCACGCAGAACCCCGAUUGCGAAGGCAGCAUACCGGUGCACAACUGACGCUCAGGCACGAAAGCGUGGGUAUCGAACAGGAUUAGAUACCCUGUAGUC